GACGAACGCUGGCGGCGUGCUUAACACAUGCAAGUCGAGCGGUAAGGCCCUUUCGGGGGUACACGAGCGGCGAACGGGUGAGUAACACGUGGGUGACCUGCCCUCAGCUCUGGGAUAAGCCCGGGAAACUGGGUCUAAUACUGGAUAUGACUCCACGGUGCAUGCUGUGGGGUGGAAAGCCUUGUGCGGCUGAGGAUGGGCCCGCGGCCUAUCAGCUUGUUGGUGGGGUGANGGCCUACCAAGGCGACGACGGGUAGCCGGCCUGAGAGGGCGACCGGCCACACUGGGACUGAGACACGGCCCAGACUCCUACGGGAGGCAGCAGUGGGGAAUCUUGCGCAAUGGGCGAAAGCCUGACGCAGCGACGCCGCGUGAGGGAUGACGGCCUGGUUGUAAC
rnacentral:rRNA from 1 species